rnacentral:lncRNA from 1 species
UGAAAAAAUAAAUUUAAUCCGAAUAAAUAUCCAUUCCGUCCGGAUUCAACUUUCAAUCCGGCCUCCUAGGCCGGAUUGAAAAAAGAGGUGAUUGGGGCAUUCCCAUUCCAUUCGGGAAUCGAAAUCGGAAUGGGACUCCCGCGUACCAAGCACCCACAAACAGAUUCACCAUUCCGAUUCCGAUUCCAUGGUGAAAAAGAAGCGAACCAAACACGCACUAUAUUUAUAUAAUUUAGUUUUAAUUCAAUUUAUAAUUUUAAUUAAGUUUGAAAUUAAAUAUUGGAAUAGCACUAUUCCACCAAAAUAGUGGAAUAGCAAAUCUCUUGCUAUCCCGGAAUAAUCGGGAAUAGCAAGGUUUGAUCGGAAUAAAAUAUCCUGGCCAAAUUUCUUCCUGUUUGGCAAAAUAGCGGGGAUAACUUUUGUUAUCCCCGCUUAUCCCCUGAACCAAACGGAACCUUAAAGUCCAUCCACCGUUGAAGUAUUUAAAUCUCCAUGUAAAAAUCUAUAGCUCAGUAAUUCUUGUC